rnacentral:lncRNA from 1 species
CCACAUUCAGAUAAGGAGUAUCUCAGGUGUAAUACAGGAACGCCAAAAGUCUAAAAACACAGGCAUUAAUCUAACCAAAAAUAUCCAUAAAUGUCCUUUAUAAAUCCUUGAUGCACAGGGAUUUAAAGUCCGUUUUUAGAAGAAAAGAAUUUGAACUGUUAUAAAAUGAAACCAAACAGACAUGUGUCCUACACAAAUUUACCAGAGGUGAACAAUAACAGCAUGAUGAACAAGUCAAUGAACUCAAAGUAUUACCGGUUGGAUUUUCUGUAUCGGUGGAGGAUUACUCAGCAGCAAUCAUUGGCGUACUGGAUAGUGGUGUUCGUGACCUGUGGGAUCUAUCCGCACGCGAAGAAAAACCGGAAAAAACUUGAGAUUGUUUUCCCCUGUUCUUACUUGGUUCUUGAAAUCACUAUGGCUCCAAAGCUCACAAUGAUAGACUCCAAACCUUCCCUGUAAACUUCAAAUAUUUCCAAAAGCAACAAAU